GUGAGGAAUAUUGGACAAUGGGCGCAAGCCUGAUCCAGCCAUGCCGCGUGCAGGAAGACGCAUCUAUGGUGUGUAAACUGCUUUUGUACGGGAAGAAACACUCCCUCGUGAGGGAGCUUGACGGUACCGUAAGAAUAAGGAUCGGCUAACUCCGUGCCAGCAGCCGCGGUAAUACGGAGGAUCCAAGCGUUAUCCGGAAUCAUUGGGUUUAAAGGGUCCGUAGGCGGUUUAAUAAGUCAGUGGUGAAAGCCCAUCGCUCAACGAUGGAACGGCCAUUGAUACUGUUAGACUUGAAUUACAAGGAAGUAACUAGAAUAUGUAGUGUAGCGGUGAAAUGCUUAGAUAUUACAUGGAAUACCAAUUGCGAAGGCAGGUUACUACUUGUGGAUUGACGCUGAUGGACGAAAGCGUGGGGAGCGAACAGGAUUAGAUACCCCUGAGUCC
rnacentral:rRNA from 1 species